UUGAACGCUGGCGGCAUGCCUUACACAUGCAAGUCGAACGGCAGCGGACCUUCGGGUGCGGCGAGUGGCGAACGGGUGAGUAAUAUAUCUGAACGUACCUUUCAGUGGGGGAUAACGUAGCGAAAGUUACGCUAAUACCGCAUAUUCUGUGAGCAGGAAAGCAGGGGAUCGCAAGACCUUGCGCUGAUUGAGCGGCCGAUAUCAGAUUAGCUAGUUGGUGAGGUAAAGGCUCACCAAGGCGACGAUCCGUAGCUGGUCUGAGAGGAUGAUCAGCCACACUGGAACUGAGACACGGUCCAGACUCCUACGGGAGGCAGCAGUGGGGAAUAUUGGACAAUGGGGGCAACCCUGAUCCAGCCAUGCCGCGUGUGUGAAGAAGGCCUUCGGGUUGUAAAGCACUUUUGUUGGGGAAGAAACCGGCCGGGUUAAUACCCUGGUUGAAUGACGGUACCCAAAGAAUAAGCACCGGCUAACUUCGUG
rnacentral:rRNA from 1 species